UGCCGAUUAAUACCCGGCAUGAAGGACAUCACCCACAGAAGAAGCACCGGCUAACUCCGUGCCAGCAGCCGCGGUAAUACGGAGGGUGCAAGCGUUAAUCGGAAUUACUGGGCGUAAAGGGCGCGUAGGCGGCUUGCCAAGCCGGAUGUGAAAGCCCCGGGCUCAACCCGGGAACGGCAUUCGGAACUGGCAGGCUAGAGUGCAGGAGAGGAAGGUGGAAUUCCCGGUGUAGCGGUGAAAUGCGUAGAGAUCGGGAGGAAUACCAGUGGCGAAGGCGGCCUUCUGGACUGACACUGACGCUGAGGCGCGAAAGCGUGGGUAGCAAACAGGAUUAGAUACCCUGGUAGUCCACGCCGUAAACGAUGUCGACCAGCCGUUGGACCCCUUGAGGGUUUGGUGGCGUAGUUAACGCAAUAAGUCNACCGCCUGGGGAGUACGGCCGCAAGGCUAAAACUCAAAUGAAUUGACGGGGGCCCGCACAAGCGGUGGAGCAUGUGGUUUAAUUCGAUGCAACGCGAAGAACCUUACCUGCUCUUGACAUCCUGCGAAU
rnacentral:rRNA from 1 species